UCCAAGCACUGGGAUUGUUGUGGGGUCUGUCCAACCCCUCCUUAACCCCUGAGGAACCUUUGUCUUGUGGUCAGAGUUGCUACAGUGGGAGGACUCAGAAAUCCAUGUAUAGAUGUAAAUUCCAGUAUCUUCUCGAGUUCUAGAGGAAUUGAGUUGCUGGUGAAGGUGGGGGUUUUGCUGCUGGGUUUGGUUCUGGCUCUCUGCUGAUGCUCUGUCCAGGUGCAGCAGCUGCUGAGCCUCAUCCUGGCUCUUGGGCUUGCAGCAUUCUUGAGCCAGCCUCACUUUUGUGGUUUUGUCCCUCCUAGUCCUGAGAAGGAGUAACUGAAGCUGCCUGGCUGCCUCCUGGGUGCUUGUACUGAUGCAGGGAGCAGGAGAGAGGUUGUCUUGCUCACCUGUUCACUCCAAAGUCCUCUGAUGUGGUUCAGGAGGUUAUUUGGGCACUUGGAUCCCUCCCAGCAGGUACCUUUGUAGCAAAACCUUUGAUUCAAUUAUUGCAUCAUUUCUCACCAGCAUGCUGAAGUGUCCCAAUUUUUACUGUUUAUUUACAAAAUAGGAGAUUUUGGAAAUAAUGUACUCUGGGUUCUCUGAUGCAAUAGAGACCAGAGAGGUGGUGGAGGAAAAUCAACUAAAAGGAAUUGUUUCUCUCCUUAAUAAAAGAAACAAACCUGGAAGCGAGGCAGGCUGAAUGAACUGAAACCGAGCUGCUGGUGGAGGAAUGUAUUUUAUUCUGUUCUUUGUUGGACACUGCCAGAAACACUGUGAAUACAGUUAAUAAACAUGUCUAAAAAUGUUAAAUA